rnacentral:rRNA from 1 species
GGCCUAUCGAUUAUAAUUUUAGGUCGGGCCUGCCCAAUGACGUAGAGUUAAAUGGCCGCGGUACUUUGACCGUGCAAAGGUAGCAUAAUCAUUAGUUUUUUAAUUGAAAGCUUGUAUGAAAGGUUUGAUGAGAAAAUUACUGUCUCUGUUUAAAUUUUUUAGAAUUUUAUUUUUAAGUAAAAAAGCUUAAAUGUUUAUAGAAGACGAGAAGACCCUAUAGAGUUUUAUAGUCUUAAGAAUUAAAGUGUUUUAGUAUUUUAAGUUUGUUUUUUAAGACUAUUUGAUUGGGGUGAUAGAAAAAUUUGAUGAACUUUUUUUGUAUUGAAACAUUGAUUUAUGAAUAUUUGAUCCUUAGAUAAAGAUUAAAAGAAUAAAUUACCUUAGGGAUAACAGCGUAAUUUUUCUUUAGAGUUCUGAUUGAAAGAAAAGGUUGCGACCUCGAUGUUGGAUUAAAAUAAAAAAUUGGUGUAGGAGCUAAUUGAUUGGGUCUGUUCGACCUUUAAAAUUUUACAUGAUCUGAGUUUAAACCGGCGUAAGCCAGGUCGGU